AACUUGUUCUCAACUAGCCUACUUGGUUAAAUCAAGGUGAAUUAAAAAAAAUAAAAAUAAUAAAACAUGACCCCACAAAUGUUGUUAUAAAGCAAUACCCAAUAUCACUGUGUGGUUGGUAUAUCCGCUGGCCCAGUGAGGAGGCGCCAUGGCCUACCAACAAGAGAGGAAAAGGAGCUGUCGGAAGCUGAGUCUGACCACCCAGGCCCUGAGGCACCUCCUCCCUGGCCCCUCCCCAGUGGAUAUGAUGACUGACAGGCUGGGAGAGCAGGGAGACACAGAGCCACCUAAUGACGAUCCGCCUCUUAUAGCUGAGGUACUUUACUACUGUGGCUCUGUCUGAGAGUGAGCGUGCUGCGGUAUUAUACUUGGGCAAUGAUGGUUAUUAAAAUAAUGAAUUUCUUUGUCUCAAUGCAGGAGAAACACUGGACUCUGGCACAAUCCCCAUCCAAGGAGAGCUCUGAAUCUAUGUUCUCUUUCAGCGCAGCCUCCUCUCUGCUCCCGCUGAGAUGGGGCAUCCUUUAUGUGUAUGGAAGCACAGUGAUGCUGCAGCAGAUCUCCUCCCUGGAGGAUAUAAAAGCGUCUGCUAAAUGGCAUAUAUUAUUAUUAUUAUAUUAGGAUGGAGUCACAGCAGGCAGGAUGACAGCACAUCCCUCCCAGCAGACAUACUCCACCCAGGCUGCCCUGAUCUGCCUCUGACACUAGAGGGCGCCACAGACCCUGUCUCCUUCAACAGCCUGAGUAAAGACACCAGGAAUGUUUAUUUUUUUUCACCUUUAUUUAACCAGAGGAGAUCAUGACCUGUGAUACCAGGAGACAACCUCGUAAUUGUGGAAGAGGAGGCAGUUCCCCUGUAGAUGUAACAUUAGACAGAAGAUUACAUUGACUACUACAAGGAAGUGACUGAGGAAAUCAUUCAUGUGACUGACGUGUGGAGCGUCAUACCUGGAGGGGACAAAUCAGAGAACCUCC